rnacentral:snRNA from 1 species
AUACAUUUCUCAGCCUUUUGGCUAAGAUUAAGUUCAGAAUCUGUUCUGAUCAGUUUAAUAUCUGAUGAUAUUAACUCAAUAUGUCAAACAGACUGAACAAAA